GUGAGGUAAUGGCUCACCAAGGCGACGACGGGUAGCCGGCCUGAGAGGGCGACCGGCCACACUGGGACUGAGACACGGCCCAGACUCCUACGGGAGGCAGCAGUGGGGAAUAUUGCACAAUGGGCGAAAGCCUGAUGCAGCGACGCCGCGUGAGGGAUGACGGCCUUCGGGUUGUAAACCUCUUUCAGCAGGGAAGAAGCGAAAGUGACGGUACCUGCAGAAGAAGCGCCGGCUAACUACGCGCCAGCAGCCGCGGUAAUACGUAGGGCGCGAGCGUUGUCCGGAAUUAUUGGGCGUAAAGAGCUCGUAGGCGGCUUGUCACGUCGGUUGUGAAAGCCCGGGGCUUAACCCCGGGUCUGCAGUCGAUACGGGCAGGCUAGAGUUCGGUAGGGGAGAUCGGAAUUCCUGGUGUAGCGGUGAAAUGCGCAGAUAUCAGGAGGAACACCGGUGGCGAAGGCGGAUCUCUGGGCCGAUACUGACGCUGAGGAGCGAAAGCGUGGGGAGCGAACAGGAUUAGAUACCCUGGUAGUCCACGCCGUAAACGGUGGGCACUAGGUGUGGGCGACAUUCCACGUCGUCCGUGCCGCAGCUAACGCAUUAAGUG
rnacentral:rRNA from 1 species